rnacentral:rRNA from 1 species
GAAGGGAAACCGAGUCUUAACCGGGCGUUAAGUUGCAGGGUAUAGACCCGAAACCCGGUGAUCUAGCCAUGGGCAGGUUGAAGGUUGGGUAACACUAACUGGAGGACCGAACCGACUAAUGUUGAAAAAUUAGCGGAUGACCUGUGGCUGGGGGUGAAAGGCCAAUCAAACCGGGAGAUAGCUGGUUCUCCCCGAAAGCUAUUUAGGUAGCGCCUCGUGAAUUCAUCUCCGGGGGUAGAGCACUGUUUCGGCUAGGGGGCCAUCCCGGCUUACCAACCCGAUGCAAACUGCGAAUACCGGAGAAUGUUAUCACGGGAGACACACGGCGGGUGCUAACGUCCGUCGUGAAGAGGGAAACAACCCAGACCGCCAGCUAAGGUCCCAAAGUCAUGGUUAAGUGGGAAACGAUGUGGGAAGGCCCAGACAGCCAGGAUGUUGGCUUAGAAGCAGCCAUCAUUUAAAGAAAGCGUAAUAGCUCACUGGUCGAGUCGGCCUGCGCGGAAGAUGUAACGGGGCUAAACCAUGCACCGAAGCUGCGGCAGCGAACGUAUCACUUAAAGCGAUUCAGCGGGUUACGAUUGACGGAGCGAAGCGACGUCAAAGCGUAUACAAAGUCGAGUCGGUUUA